rnacentral:rRNA from 1 species
GCCAAUGCUAGCCCUAAGCACAACCAACACUAAUACCAAGCCAACACACACUAAACCAUUUACCUACACAAAGUAUAGGCGAUAGAAAUUUUAAUCUGGCGCUAUAGACACAGUACCGUAAGGGAAAGAUAGAAAACCACCCAAGCACAAAACAGCAAGGACUAACCCCUGUACCUUUCGCAUAAUGAAUUAGCUAGAAACAAUUUCACAAAGAGGACUACAAGCCAAAUCCCCCGAAACCAGACGAGCUACCCAAAAACAGCUAAAAGAGCGCACCCAUCUAUGUGGCAAAAUAGUGGGAAGAUUUCUGGGUAGAGGUGAAAAGCCUACCGAGCCUGGUGAUAGCUGGUUAUCCAAGACAGAAUCUUAGUUCAACCUUAAGCUUACCUAUAGAACUACCUAAUCCCCCUGUAAGCUUAACUGCUAGUCUAAAGAGGGACAGCUCUUUAGACACUAGGAAAAAACCUUACGGAGAGAGUAAAGCCCUCAAUCGCCAUAGUUGGCUUAAAAGCAGCCAUCAAUUAAGAAAGCGUUCAAGCUCAACACUAACCACCACAAAAAUACCAAACACAUAACUGAACUCCUCACACCACAUUGGAUUAAUCUAUCACCAUAUAGAAGCAAUAAUGCUAGUAUAAGUAACAUGAAUAUUUUCUCCACCGCAUAAGCCUAAAUCGGACCGAAAGCCUCACCGAUAUCUAACAGCCAGGCAUAACAAGCACAAACAAGCCCAUGCCAUCUUCACUGUUAACCCAACACAGGCAUGCCUCAAGGAAAGGUUAAAAAAAGUAAAAGGAACUCGGCAAACUCAAACCCCGCCUGUUUACCAAAAACAUCACCUCUAGCAUUACUAGUAUUAGAGGCACUGCCUGCCCAGUGACACACGUUUAACGGCCGCGGUACCCUGAC